rnacentral:rRNA from 1 species
CCUACGGGUGACAGCAGUGAGGAAUAUUGGUCAAUGGACGCGAGCCUGAACCAGCCAAGUAGCGUGAAGGAUGACUGCCCUACGGGUUGUAAACUUCUUUUAUAAAGGAAUAAAGUGUUGCACGUGUGGCUUUUUGUAUGUACUUUAUGAAUAAGGAUCGGCUAACUCCGUGCCAGCAGCCGCGGUAAUACGGAGGAUCCGAGCGUUAUCCGGAUUUAUUGGGUUUAAAGGGAGCGUAGGUGGGUUGUUAAGUCAGUUGUGAAAGUUUGCGGCUCAACCGUAAAAUUGCAGUUGAAACUGGCAGUAUUGAGUACAGUAGAGGUGGGCGGAAGUCGUGGUGUAGCGGUGAAAUGCUUAGAUAUCACGAAGAAAUACGAUUGCGAAGGCAGCUCAAUGGACUGCAACGGACACUGAGGCUCGAAAGUGUGGGUAUCAAACAGGAUUAGAGACCCUGGUAGUC